GUGGGGAAUAUUGCACAAUGGGCGCAAGCCUGAUGCAGCCAUGCCGCGUGUAUGAAGAAGGCCUUCGGGUUGUAAAGUACUUUCAGCGGGGAGGAAGGUGUUGUGGUUAAUAACCGCAGCAAUUGACGUUACCCGCAGAAGAAGCACCGGCUAACUCCGUGCCAGCAGCCGCGGUAAUACGGAGGGUGCAAGCGUUAAUCGGAAUUACUGGGCGUAAAGCGCACGCAGGCGGUCUGUCAAGUCGGAUGUGAAAUCCCCGGGCUCAACCUGGGAACUGCAUUCGAAACUGGCAGGCUAGAGUCUUGUAGAGGGGGGUAGAAUUCCAGGUGUAGCGGUGAAAUGCGUAGAGAUCUGGAGGAAUACCGGUGGCGAAGGCGGCCCCCUGGACAAAGACUGACGCUCAGGUGCGAAAGCGUGGGGAGCAAACAGG
rnacentral:rRNA from 1 species